CUCACAUGAACUCCACCAGCUUUUUCAUUGGUUUAGAAUAAUGGAAAAUUUGUUAUGGAAUGGAAGGAAUUAGGCAGUUGACUGGUUUGUUCUGGGUCUGUGCUGCAAACAAAGCUCGAGGCAAGAAUGCCCGGAGGCAUGGUACAUUGGG